GUUGAACGCUAGCUACAGGCUUAACACAUGCAAGUCGAGGGACCGGCGCACGGGUGAGUAACACGUAUCCAACCUGCCCUUUACUCGGGGACAGCCUUCCGAAAGAAAGAUUAAUACCCGAUAUAAAGGAUGGGGAUGCGUUCCAAUAGAUUGUUGGUGAGGUAACGGCUCACCAAGCAUUCGAUGGAUAGGGGUUCUGAGUGGAAGGGCCCCCAGAAUGGAAAUGGAACCCGAUCCGAAAUGCUACGGAAGGCAGGGGUAAGGAGUAUUGGUCGAUGAGCGCUAGCCUGAACCAGCCAAGUAGCGUGAGGGAUGAAAACUUAUGGGUAGUAAACUUCAGUUGGAUAAGAGUAUGUAUUGUAUGAAUAAGGAGCGGCUAACUCCGUGCCAGCAGCCGCGGUAAUUC
rnacentral:rRNA from 1 species